UUAGCUCAAAUUUGUAUGGAGUUCGAGCGUUUGCCUACGUUUGCCGCUAGGGGCGCUGUUCCAACUGCAUACAAAUUCGAGUUA
rfam:Bombyx mori DNA, contig: Bm_scaf38_contig22441, strain: p50T/Dazao, build 2, whole genome shotgun sequence.